rnacentral:rRNA from 1 species
UACGUAGGGUGCGAGCGUUGCCCGGAUUUAUUGGGCGUAAAGGGCGCGUAGGCGGCUCUGCACGUCCGUUGUGAAAUCGCCCGGCUCAACUGGGCGGGGUCAGCGGAUACGGCGGAGCUUGAGCAAGCUAGGGGGCAAUGGAAUUCCCGGUGUAGUGGUGGAAUGCGUAGAUAUCGGGAGGAAGGCCGGUGGCGAAGGCGGCGCUCUGGAACGUUUCUGACACUGAGGCUCGAAAGCGUGGGGAGCAAACAGG